rnacentral:ncRNA from 1 species
UAAAAAUUUGAUUCUAGUUUUUUAGUUUAGUUUAUGUUUUAUUUAUAUGUAAAUUUUAAAUAGUAAGUUAUUUUAAUAGAUAUUUAUUUAUAAUUGGCAAUAAUUAAUUUUAUACCAUAAAAGGAAUUUUGAUGUAGGAAUAUAUAAUAGUAUUGAUAAAAUUUGUGCCAGCAAUCGCGGUUAAACAGGUGAUACAAUUAAAUUUUAUUUAAUAAUAAUUAGUAAGUUUAUUUUAAUUAAAAAUUAGAUUUAUUAGGUGAAAUUAUAAAUUUAAAUAAGGUUAGUUAUAAAGAUUAUGAAGUUAUGAAAUUUUAUUAUUAAACUAGGAUUAGAUACCCUAUUAUUAAAAAUAUAAAUUAAAAUAUUAGGGUAGUAUUAGUUAUUUUCUUGAAAUUUAAAGAAUUUGGCGGUAUUUUAGUCUAUUCAGAGGAACCUGUUCUAUAAAUGAUGAUCCACGAUUAAUUUUACUUAAUUUAAUAGUUUAUAUAUCGUCGUUAAUUGAAUAUCUUUAAAAAGAUUGAAUAUUCAUGAUUUAAAAUAUAAUAAAAGAAAUCAGAUCAAGGUGUAGUUUAUAGUUAAGUAGUAAUGGGUUACAAUAAAUUUAUUUAGAAUGGAUAUAAUAAUUAAAAUUAUUAUUUAAAGUGGAUUUGAUAGUAAUAUAUUUUAUUUAAAUUAUAUGAUUUUAGCUCUAAAAUAUGUACAUAUCGCCCGUCGCUUUCAUUGAAAUAUUAAAAUGAAAUAAGUCGUAACAUAGUAGGUGUACCGGAAGGUGUACCUGGUUUGUU